ensembl:lncRNA
AUGUUGAUAGCUCAAUACUUGGUGUUGUCUUCCGGUAGGAGAGGAGAGCUUCUCUGUCCAUCACUUCUUUUCCGGUCCCCGUCUCCUUCAGCACAGUCAGUGGACUGUCAUGGCCGACCACUCCAGGCAGAGCUCCCACCUCUGGUGCAGGUCCGGUGUCUCACUCUGACUCGGAACCGUCCUGCUCUCAGGAGAGAGAAGAGCAGCAGGCGUCGUUCAGAGCUCAGAUCUCCAAGAUCGAGGAGUUCCUCAACACGGAGCGACUCCGUCUGCCCAAACGACGAAGAACUGACAACUGAACCGACAAAACUCCAAAAGUUGCUCAUCAUUAUCAAUGAGACCCCAUGCUCAAAGCGUGAUCGUCUUGGAAUUCUGAUGAUUGUUUUCUGGCUUCUAAGUUCUGAACGAUGUUUCUUUAAUGAUAAAAAAAAAGAAGAACAAAAACCUGCAGAAACAGAACUGAAGACAUUGUUGGUGAGUCGGAUGUCUGCGUAUAUACAUCAGGAAACGACGGAGGAGAGUUUGUAGAUGACACGCUCGACACAUCUUGACCCCAGACAUACAGAUUCAAACAGAGUCAUUACAGGUAAGACACCGUCAACUACUUGUCUGUACGUGUGAAAGAAGUUUCAGUUCAGAAGUUUCCGUCUGUAGACACAAAUGAAAAACUAGUUGUAGUAUAGCAGGUUUAGAUGUUCUCAAAGAUUUGACUUUGACUUUAUAUAUGAAUUCCUCUUUCCUUUCAGCUAUAUAGCUGCAUAGAUUAUUAGCCUAUUUAAUGCCCGUUGGCAUUACUGUUUAUAAAUAAUUUUGUUCAGGACAUUUUGUGUAUUUGUUAAUGAGCAGGGAACGAGGUUAUUUUUUUAUUCCCCUGGAUGUUAAUAUAUAUUAACAUACAGUGAAUGUUUAACAUACAGUGUACAGUGGAUUAUCCUAUAUAGAAAAAAUAAAACGUGUAGUUUACAUCUGGCUUUACUUGUCAUUCAAUAGUUUUACAAAGAUCAAUCCACCCCCCAUUCACCGACCACAUCAACAACAUAACUUGGAACAUUAAACCCGGCGAACAGAAGGAAUUUAUUGAAACAACAAAACGUCUUAGUUACACUUGGUUUAUUGGAAUCAUGUGUCCACAAAGCCAGAUAAAUAAAACUGUCUCUGUUGCCGUUUAAACAGGCCCGUAACUGUUAACAAGCGAAUUAACAUUAAUUAGCUUCAUGGGCCAAUCAGGGUGGCAUGUCUCAGAGGAACUCUUAAUUGUGAAGCACCAUGUUGUUUCUGCUGCUGCUGGUGAGGCAAUUACAACUGUUCUGUUAACAGCGAUUAACAUAAAUUAAGAGAUAACAAUUAGUGCAAAGCCCUUAACCCUAAUUAACCAAAAAGAAAAAUCAGGCGAACAUACAUUCCAAUUAACACGUUCUAACAAGCGUCUCAUUAACUUUAUGUUCCCUGUGCGUACGACGGAGGAAACGGCCUCAUGCGAGCAUGAGGCAGGCGAACGCAGACGAUCGGCUCCUCAUUAGUUUGUCUACUACAUGUUGUUUACUGUACAUAUCUAAUGACUUUAAGAUUCUGACAAAGGUUUUGAAGGUGGGGUUUGGUUGAUUUAACAUUUCUCACAGGCCGAGCUUCAGUAGAGGCACAAAUAGACUUGAUGAGGAAGUUUAUGAACGAGGUGGGACGACAGUAACUAUCUAGCGUGUCUCUAGUCCGACUCCUUGUGCAAUGGACAGUUGCCCUGCAAAAGUUCAAUGUCUAGUUUCAAGUCUUCUUACAUACAGCGUUUUGUAAAUUAUUGUCUAAUUUAGAGUGAUAUUAAAAACAAUUACGCACUGUAUGUGAUUGACAGCUGGUCCGUCCAAUCGGUUCACGGUUGCAGGUGUACGUGGCCGCGCACUCCAACCCCAACAUGUCGCGGCCCCCUCGCCGUGACCCCUCUUAAGGAUGGGUCCAUAUAUAUAGAUAAUGAAUAAUACAUAGGUGGAAUUUCACAAUACCACUGUUAAGGAUUGGGUGACCUUGAUGUCUCUGGCCUGAGGUUCACCGCCCAGCCCCGGUGGUUGUCCUUUGCAGAGCUGACAUAUGUUCGAAGGUCUAAAUUAAAAAAUUGGCAUCCUUUUUCUUGCCUGUUAGGAAAAUAAACUUAAUGGAAAUGUUUUUUUUUGUAAAAGAAGAUAGGGGAGUUUAUGUCACCAUCAUCAGAGUGUAUUUUCUAAUAGAUCCAAAUCCGUCCCUAUGGGUGGGCGGGGCUGGAGGGAGGGGUGGUGGUGGUGGUGGUGGUGGGGGGUCUUCUUAUCCCUGGAGCUUUCACAUACAUUCUGCUCACGUACAAAAAUUAACAGCGCACAUUUUUGAUGGUGGCACCAGGGUCUCCGCUUGGUCCGUCUUACUACACUUACUUGAUAAUGAAUACGCCUGAAUGUUAAUGCGGCCAUAAAGAAAUCUGGAGCGUUUGAGUGGCUGUGCCCACCACUGGUG